CAGCCGCCACGGUAAUACGGGGGGGGCAAGUGUUAUUCGGAAUGACUGGGCGUAAAGGGCACGUAGGCGGUGAAAAGGGUGGAAAGUGAAAGUCGCCAAAACACUGGCGGGGUGCUUUCUUGACCAUUUCACUUGAGUGAGAUAGGGGAGAGUGGAAUUUCGUGUGGAGGGAUCAAAUCCUAAGAUAUACGAAGGAACGCCAACCGCGAAGGCAGCUCUCUGGGUCCCCACUGACGCUGGGGUGCGAAAGCAUGGGGAGCAAACAGGAUCAGAUACCCCGGUAGUCCCUGUCUCUUAUACA
rnacentral:rRNA from 1 species